rnacentral:rRNA from 1 species
UGCUUGGGAAUAUGCCUUUAGGUGGGGGACAACAGUUGGAAACGACUGCUAAUACCGCAUAAUGUCUACGGACCAAAGUGGGGGACCUUCGGCCUCACGCCUAAAGAUUAGCCCAAGUGGGAUUAGCUAGUUGGUUGAGGUAAAGGCUCACCAAGCCCACGAUCCCUAGCUGGUUUGAGAGGAUGAUCAGCCACACUGGAACUGAGACACGGUCCAGACUCCUACGGGAGGCAGCAGUGAGGAAUAUUCCACAAUGGACGAAAGUCUGAUGGAGCGACACCGCGUGAAGGAUGAAGGCCU